UAAAAAAUAAAUGAUACAUAAUCAAAGGGAAAGUUCAAAGUCUUCCUCGCUUUUCCUUUCUGUGGUUGCCUCUCAAAAAACCCAAAUUCAUCUGAUCAGUUUUUUGUUUGAUCCUCCCUAUUAGUUGAAGCUUCUUUGAGAUGGAGGAGGGCAAGAUGUCUGAGGAUAUUUUGACUUCGGCUGCAGCAUUUGUGGAAGGUGGAAUUCAGGAUGCCUGCGAUGAUGCUUGCAGCAUAUGUCUUGAAGAAUUUUCUGAUAGUGAUCCUUCUACAGUGACAGGCUGCAAGCAUGAGUUCCAUCUUCAGUGUAUUCUAGAAUGGUGUCAAAGAAGCUCCCAGUGCCCCAUGUGUUGGCAACCUCUCAGCUUGAAAGACCCUAACAGCCAGGAAUUGUUGGAUGCAGUAGAGCACGAGAGGAACAUCAGGAUGAAUCCUCCUAGAAACACCACAAUCUUCCACCAUCCAACUUUAGGAGAUUUUGAGUUGCAGCAUUUACCGGUAAGUGCGACUGACUCUGAGCUUGAAGAGCGUAUCAUUCAACACUUAGCUGCUGCCGCUGCCAUGGGAAGGGCACGCCACAUUGCUAGAAGAGAAGGUCAGCGAGGUAGGUCCUCAGCUCAAGGUCGUCCCCAGUAUCUGGUGUUUUCAACUCAUCCAAAUGCUCCUGCUGCUGCUGCUGUUCCUGCUUCAUCUUCUAACCAGAGGAGUGGGGGUGAACCCACUCCUGAAGUCUCGGUUUCUGGUCAGGAUUCUCAGAUUAUUGCUGUUGGAGAAGGUUCGGGACAACUACUUUCUCAACCUCCUUCUUUUCAAGCUGAUGAGGUUUCUGCCUCUGGGUCAGGAUCAAAUGCUGCUGUUAAUCAACUUGGAACUUCGUCACAUAAUAGGAGGAAUCCUUCUCAAUCUUCUCCUAACAAUCAAGACAGAGCCGGACCAUCAGAUUUUCAGUCUUUUUCAGAUUCUAUGAAGUCUCGGUUUAGUGCAAUGUCAAUGAGAUGCAAAGAAUCUUUAACCAAGAAUUCAAGGGGUUGGAAGGAGAGAUUUUUCUCUCGCAACAGUUCAACAUCAGACAAUGUUCCUGAACCUAGGAAUGAAAUGAGGGCAGCUGUUGCCACUGUAUCACACAUGAUGGACCAUCUGGAAACUACAGAUAGCAGAACCAGUUCUGCUGAAUCAAAUAUACUGGACGGUACUUUACCUGACAGACAUGCUGAGCAGCAUAUUCCUGAGACUGAUGAUACUCAUUCUAUAAAUGAGGAUAACAGGCAAUCCCCAUGUGCUGCAAGUUCUGGUUCAAACUAAGUUUUAUAUGAGUUGAAGCAUUUUCUCUUCAAGAUGCACCAACAGAACUUGUAAUUUUUGGAAUAGAAGUGCAGUGGGAGGCUUGGAACAGAAGCUAGAGUAUUUUCUUUUGAUUACAGUGGUGUACCCAGCCAUCUUAUGCGCACCUCGACUUAUUCCAUGGGGUGGAUACUCUUGCCAGCAUCGAUGAUAUAUGGUGUGCAUCUUAUUGGACGUGUGGGGAAACACUAAUCCGUUGAAGUGCAACACUGAAUGUUAAGAUAUAGAGGGAUGGAUGUCAUCAUUUUGUCCAAACCGUGUAUAUGUAUGAUUAUAUAGAUGUAAAUUGACCCAUUCUGGGUAGUAGUACUGAUGACUUCAGCUGUUCUCUUUAAUCUUACAUGAAACCCUCCUUUGUAAUCUUCAUAGACAUUGCUGGACAGUUACUUGACCAAGGUUUUCUUGGGAUUCAGUUGCACGACAUGUUCAUCUUUAACAGACGUCAAUUUUGAGUAAACGUUGAAUUUGUAUAUUGAUUAGACAUUUUCCUGGUG